AUGCAGAUUCUAAUUCAAGAGAUCCAAGCCGGUCCCCAAGACUGCAUCUCUAAUAAGCUUCCAGGAGAUGCUGUGGACAUAGACAAAGUAUCUGCAGGACUGAAGAAGGACCAGAACACAAAACAGGAGCAAGUAGACGGGAUCUCCAAGGCCCAGCCAUCCUCCUACUCCUUCCCAGUCACAGACCCUGAGUGCCACCCUCCCUUCCCUACACACAGCAGGACUCAGCUCCUUCCCGACAUGAUGUCACAGGUCCCCGGACAUUCCACAGUAUCCUGGAGACCAAGGCGGGUGAAGCUGAGGACCUUCAGGGGAAGGUCUUCCUCCUUCGGCUGGAGGGAACAUGGCAGGGAACAGAGGAAUGACCGUGUUUGUCCUGCUGCUGUCCUGCUGGCACGAAGCCAAGCUCCAUCCAGUAAGAAUAUUUUCAGGUCCAAGUACUGUACUGCCACCAAAUUUAAGAAUUUUGGACGACGAUGUGGCUGGAGUAUUUGGCCACCCUAGCUUCCUUCAGGAGGUGCCAGUCAACCGGGCUCCUGCCCCCUGCCUGUCCCUGCCUGCCUCGGGGGCAAUCCUUGAUCUCAGUUCCUGGUGGGCGCUCUGGAAGGUGCUGUGCAUGACCACACAGGUACAGUCCUAUCCC
rnacentral:lncRNA from 12 species